CUCUUUGUGUAUUGUGUUUUGCCAUAAGGGCAAUGCAUGGGAGAUAUCCCGCUAGCUGCGAUGUGAGUAUAAUUCAGGAAGCAAAAUGUGGAGAGAUGCCCAGAUGUCAGCAAGUUCACUUUGCUAUGAUAGCAAAUAUCCGAUUGGUGCCAACGAGAUGCCUACAUGACAAAACGUGUCAGCAGGUCUGACAGAACGGCAAGCCAACAAACCGUUAAGAUAAACAAAUCUCGACAGUAAGGGCGUGAUUCUGUAAAAAAAACAUAAUCACUCCAAGAGCGGCCAACUGCUGACAAAGCGCUUAAUGUACCGAUUUUGGUUUGCGCUUCCGUAGUAGAAGUACAAAUAACGUGCGUAUGAUGCUAAUAAACAUUAAGUUAACCGACCCUUGAUCGUUAAAUAAUAAUACAAUCCAGAGUUACAGCGUAGCCCCUGAAACUAUUCUCUCAUCAAGGGCUUACCAUUACAAUAAUAAGAUCAGGGCUGGACAAAUGUUAAUCACGACGAAAAAGAGAAGGCAGGUAUGUGUGAAUGUUAAGCAUACCUGUAUUACUACCAAAAUAGAGGGUAUUCACAUAUACUUAUCCGGUUCAAUAAAGUCUCAGGUGCGAUUAUUGCGUGUGCCGUAGUUACGAAUGAAGUCUCUCGCCUGCACACGUGUUGUGAGUUUACGCGUCAAGGGUGCUGAAAAUCCUAUCCACACCUGCCCUGGAAUGCGAGUCACUCGUAGUAGUCUUAUCUUUGAUGUGGAUAUCUGUACUAUCCAGAUAGUCGAGACCAGGAGCAAUUCCGAAUGGUUUUUGUUGAGAACUCGGAGCAUGCGCUCACUCUUUUAAUACGAGCACGAAAUUAUUGGUUUAAAAAAAUUGAGUAGCGAGAUGUGAGUACAUUAAUUAAUACUUUUUUACCAUCAUAUUUUUAUUUUAUUUUUCUCUAGGAUAGCUAUUUUCAAUUGCGUUUGCUUGUUUUUUGUUUGUUUCGUGAAACCCCGUUAAAAUGAAAUUUUCAAUGUCUGUGGAGUUUCACGGCCCAGUUGGUGACUCUGAUGGGGCGGGGAAGCCAACGAGAGCUUAGCAUAGGGCGGCCCCGGGGCAAUAACCAUUGGGGUGUGUUUGAUCAGUGUGAAUUCGUCUCCUUGCACGAGAGUCGGUAUUAACAUAUUUCUAGUGAAAUUUACAGCUGUGUUUGCUAUCAUUACAAAAUAUUUAGUAAACCCCUCCCCUGGUCAGAUAUGUUCAGUACUAUGCGGCCUGUAGAAUAACAACAUAUGAUUCAGAUUUGGAAUCUGUUAAUGCCCAUUUUUUCGUGGCUUAGAGUUAAUUGACAUUCUCAAGCCGAAAACAGACGUUUAACUCUCGAUUCCCACUUUUCAACUCCUCGCUUAUUAUAUACAUACUUUUUUGCAUUCUU